UACGAAGGGGGCUAGCGUUGCUCGGAAUUACUGGGCGUAAAGCGCACGUAGGCGGCUUUCUAAGUCGGGGGUGAAAUCCUGGAGCUCAACUCCAGAACUGCCUUCGAUACUGGAAGCUCGAGUCCGGGAGAGGUGAGUGGAACUGCGAGUGUAGAGGUGAAAUUCGUAGAUAUUCGCAAGAACACCAGUGGCGAAGGCGGCUCACUGGCCCGGUACUGACGCUGAGGUGCGAAAGCGUGGGUAGCAAACGGG
rnacentral:rRNA from 1 species